CCUACGGGUCGCAGCAGUGGGGAAUAUUGCACAAUGGGCGCAAGCCUGAUGCAGCCAUGCCGCGUGUAUGAAGAAGGCCUUCGGGUUGUAAAGUACUUUCAGCGGGGAGGAAGGUGUUGUGGUUAAUAACCGCAACAAUUGACGUUACCCGCAGAAGAAGCACCGGCUAACUCCGUGCCAGCAGCCGCGGUAAUACGGAGGGUGCAAGCGUUAAUCGGAAUUACUGGACGUAAAGCGCACGCAGGCGGUCUGUCAAGUCGGAUAUGAAGUCCCCGGGCUCAACCCGGGAACUGCAUCCGAAACUGGCAGGCUUGAGUCUUGUAGAGGGGGGUAGAAUUCCAGGUGUAGCGGUGAAAUGCGUAGAGAUCUGGAGGAAUACCGGUGGCGAAGGCGGCCCCCUGGACAAAGACUGACGUUCAGGUGCGAAAGCGUGGGGAGCAAACAGGAUUAGAUACCCGGGUAGUC
rnacentral:rRNA from 1 species